CUGCACUGAUGACUAUCUUAGGACACCUUUGGAUUAAAUAAUGAAAAUACUAACAUCUCUCUGAGCAGC
ensembl:snoRNA SNORD58 Small nucleolar RNA SNORD58